rnacentral:rRNA from 1 species
AUUGAACGCUGGCGGCAUGCUUUACACAUGCAAGUCGAACGGUAACAGGCCGCAAGGUGCUGACGAGUGGCGCACGGGCGAGUAAUGCAUCGGAACGUGCCCAGUCGUGGGGGAUAACUACUCGAAAGAGUAGCUAAUACCGCAUACGAUCUAUGGAUGAAAGCGGGGGACCGUAAGGCCUCGCGCGAUUGGAGCGGCCGAUGUCAGAUUAGGUAGUUGGUGGGGUAAAGGCUCACCAAGCCAACGAUCUGUAGCUGGUCUGAGAGGACGACCAGCCACACUGGGACUGAGACACGGCCCAGACUCCUACGGGAGGCAGCAGUGGGGAAUUUUGGACAAUGGGCGCAAGCCUGAUCCAGCAAUGCCGCGUGCAGGAAGAAGGCCUUCGGGUUGUAAACUGCUUUUGUACGGAACGAAACGGCUCUGGUUAAUACCCGGGGCUAAUGACGGUACCGUAAGAAUAAGCACCGGCUAACUACGUG